ACCGAAACCGGUUGGUUUGGAUAAAACGACGCAGUUUCGCGCUUAAGGGGGAGAAACAAAACGCGCUUCUCCAUCUCCUUCCUUAUUCCUUCGAACAGAACACACCCUGCCUCAACCCCGGAAAAACCCUAGCCGCCACCACCGCCGCAGGGAGGAGCCGUGUUUGCCGCCGUCCGUCACAGUCAGGGGCUUUUCUCCUCGAGUCUUCGUGCGUCACAAUCAGGGGAGUUCUCCAAGUCUUUGAUCUGUUCAUAGUCACCAGUCGCAGGUGCAUCGCUUCUUCCUCCAGCUCGGCGGCCGUCGUGUUGUCGCCAUUGUUUGUCGCCAUCUGUCGCAGUCAGGGUUUUAAAUGGCAAAGUGAUGCGAAAAGUGGGUGUGGAGGUUGUGGGGUUGGGAGCCCUAAAAUUCACUGGAUUUCUUAGAGAACAAUGCAACAAAAUAACAUGAGUUUUGAAU